CAGUAGUCAGGUUAAAGCAGGGUAAUUCCAGCAUUAUUUCCUACCGAUGAAUAAUUAACACAAUGUUUUAUUUGCCUGCCAAUGCUGGGCGUCGGAAAUGCUUGUUAAUUGUGUUUCCUCUGACUCGACUCUCAACAACUCUUUCGGUUUUAAUUAAUAGGAAAUUAAUUUUGCAGUGCUCUGUUUUGACAUGGUUAAUUUACAUGGGCUCGGGACCAAAACAUCAAAGAAGCACCUUCGCAAGUGCACAGCAACACCUACAACUUCAUAGUGAUACCCUUUCUUCAUUGACAGAGCUGUCAUUGUGAGUUCAGAGCGAGAUGUUCCGAAUCUGGCCUUUUUUCUUGUUCCUCUGAAGUUCUUUCAUCUGUACUGGGUUACACAAACAUGCGAGUUUAUGUGAGUCUGUGACGGUGAAAUAAGCAAGUGCUUUAGGAGCUUUAUCUUCUAGUGCAACUUGACUCAAACGGCAGAAAUAAAACACAUCAACACAA